rnacentral:rRNA from 1 species
UUGGAGGGCAAGUCUGGUGCCAGCAGCCGCGGUAAUUCCAGCUCCAAUAGCGUAUAUUAAAGUUGUUGCAGUUAAAAAGCUCGUAGUUGAAUUUCGGGGUCAGUAGAUUGGUCGUGCCACUGGUAUGUACUGGUCUCACUGGCUCCUCCUUCCUGAUGAACCGUAAUGCCAUUAAUUUGGUGUUGCGGGGAGACUGGACUGUUACUUUGAAAAAAUUAGAGUGUUUAAAGCAGGCUAACGCUUGAAUACAUUAGCAUGGAAUAAUGAAAUAGGACGUUCGAUCUUAUUUUGUUGGUUUCUAAGAUUGACGUAAUGAUUAAUAGGGAUAGUUGGGGGCAUUAGUAUUCAAUUGUCAGAGGUGAAAUUCUUGGAUUUAUUGAAGACUAACUACUGCGAAAGCAUUUGCCAAGGAUGUUUUCAUUAAUCAAGUACGAAAGUUAGGGGAUCGAAGACGAUCAGAUACCGUCGUAGUCUUAACCAUAAACUAUGCCGACUAGGGAUCGGAUGAUGUUAAUUUUUUAAUGACUCAUUCGGCGCCUUACGGGAAA